AUUGAACGCUGGCGGCAUGCUUUACACAUGCAAGUCGAACGGUAACAGGGAGCUUGCUCCGCUGACGAGUGGCGAACGGGUGAGUAAUGCGUCGGAACGUGCCGAGUAGUGGGGGAUAACGCAUCGAAAGGUGUGCUAAUACCGCAUACGUACUGAGGUAGAAAGUGGGGGACCUUCGGGCCUCACGCUAUUCGAGCGGCCGACGUCUGAUUAGCUAGUUGGUGAGGUAAAGGCUCACCAAGGCGACGAUCAGUAGCGGGUCUGAGAGGAUGAUCCGCCACACUGGGACUGAGACACGGCCCAGACUCCUACGGGAGGCAGCAGUGGGGAAUUUUGGACAAUGGGCGCAAGCCUGAUCCAGCCAUGCCGCGUGUCUGAAGAAGGCCUUCGGGUUGUAAAGGACUUUUGUCCGGGAGCAAAUGCUGGUGGCUACAUCCACCGGAGCUGAGAGUACCGGAAGAAUAAGCACCGGCUAACUACGUGCCAGCAGCCGCGGUAAAAC
rnacentral:rRNA from 1 species